UUUUGGACAAUGGGGGCAACCCUGAUCCAGCCAUGCCGCGUGAGUGAAGAAGGCCUUCGGGUUGUAAAGCUCUUUCGGACGGAACGAAAUGGGCGGGACUAAUACUCCUGUCUGAUGACGGUACCGUAAGAAGAAGCACCGGCUAACUACGUGCCAGCAGCCGCGGUAAUACGUAGGGUGCGAGCGUUAAUCGGAAUUACUGGGCGUAAAGCGUGCGCAGGCGGUUUCGUAAGCUGGAGGUGAAAUCCCCGGGCUUAACCUGGGAAUGGCCUUCAGGACUGCGAGGCUAGAGUGCGGCAGAGGGAGGUGGAAUUCCACGUGUAGCAGUGAAAUGCGUAGAGAUGUGGAGGAACACCGAUGGCGAAGGCAGCCCCCUGGGCUAACACUGACGCUCGGCACGAAA
rnacentral:rRNA from 1 species